GUGAACCUUUGGUGGCAGCGAGGUGGCGUGAAUAUAAGUGGAAUGCAAUGAGGAUUCAUCGUCUGUUGCCGUUCCUUCGAAAGUUAAAAAGUGUUUACAGGCCUGCGCGAUUCUUGUCGUUCCUCCGUUUCGAGGCAACUGACGAGAUUCAGAAAGAAUCGAGACUGCAGUCCUGCCUAAGAAUAGGAACCCUAAGCAAACCACGACGGCGACGGCAACAAGGACAUGGAAAAAUAAAAGAUCUAAUUGGCGAAACAAUAGCUCAGCACGUGCGUUUUAAAACUUAGUACAUUUGUUAGCCUCCCUAGGCAAAACAGCAACGAGAAAUCACCUCAAUUUGCGUCGUCUGCGAACCGAAACCGCAACGGCAAAUUAUUUUAAUUUCCAUUUGGAACUCGAAGCUUCUUUUAUACGUUAUGCUGAAGUGUGACGCUGUAUGAGACGGUGAAUAAAUGUAGCCAUUUUUUAAAUUCUAAUCAAAGGCAGCAAUUUAUGUUUUAAACGAAUUCUUCCUUGGGGUUGCCGUCUCGACUGCUUAAGGUCCCUAAUAUACACAAACGACAGCAGUUACAUUCACAGCCGAUGCAUAUUAAAGUUAUUUCAUACAAGGGUUAACAUUUGCUUCAACUUGCAGGCUCUCCAAACUCUCGCGAAUGACCAAGAGUUUAAUGCGCGAAUGAUAAAAACAAACAUGGCGGCCAGAGUGGAAAGAGAAAUCAAAGCCCCAAAGCGAUUAAUCAAUGAAAUAAACCCGUUAAAAGCUGUAGCUGAUAAGGGCGGAAUGCCAAAGCGUCAAAAGGACAAUCGCCUUUACGAAAUUGCGUUGGAAGAGGUCGACAAAGAAGGCUAGCGAGUAAAAAUACAGUUUAACGGAUUUAGUGAUAAAUUCGACGAAUGGAGGCCAUAUGAUGGUAAAACCUUUACUAUUGUGCGAUUGGAACAUAAAUUUACACCAUCCAUGGAAUCUAUAGACGAUCGUUUGCAUCUCUUCCAAGACCGCAUGUGUGGGGAAGUGAAGCGUAAACUAUACUCUGGAAGGAAGUACGAUCCAGAAAUCAGGAUUGAAAUUCCUGUGGAAGAGGAUGUUUUCGAAUAAUCAACAUGUCAACUAGGAAGCCAAGCCCUCAAAGUUAAAGUCAAUAGAGAGAAAUUUACAAUGUACAUCUGUGUCCACCUUCCAUCAACUUUAAUAGGGUGUGCACAACAAACUGCAGUCUGGCAUUUCAUACAGUUAGCAGAGCAUGUCUUUAUGGUAUGACCAAGACCUUCACAAUUCCUACACUUGUAACUUUUCUUUAUUCUCUCCAUGCCAGCUGCUUCUAAGAGCUGUAUUCUAUUUUUCUUCAAGAGAAUCUGUUUUAGAGCAGAAAUUCCCCUAUGAUUUGAGGAUCUAAAAUAGUGUUUGGUUGCAGUAUCAUUAUAUUUUUCCUCUCCUUGUUUUGUAAAAUAGGAUAUGUUUAAAUAGAGUUUUAAGAAUUCAGGCAAUGAGCAUAUAGUGCAUGCAUGUAUGGGGUAACAUCUUUGGCUUGAUACAAGCAUAGAGACUUAUCAAACCAUGAUUAUUUGUUAACUGAGUGAUAGCAUCAUCAGUUGUAAACUCAAGCUUCAGGUCUCCAAUAAUUUCCAUAAAACUGGCCCAUAGUUUCUCCACUUCUUUAGUUUGCUUGAAGUUGGGAAGGAGUGAUUGGAAAUUUAUGCUUUGCAUAACAAGCAGUUUGUCUGGUCCAGUAAGGUCUCUAUAUUCUAAUUUCUUGGAGUCUUUGUUUACUCCAGUCAAAGGAAAUACCAAUGUUCUUCAGAAACUUUUCAUAUCCAGCCAUAUGUUUAUAUUUCUCCCUUGUAAAUCCACUAGGAAAAGUUUUCACUUCAUCUAUAGCAUCUUCCCUACAAAGUUGCUGGAUAAGAAGCUCAAUCAAGUUGUCAGAAAUCCUCAAAAAUAAGUGAAGUUUGUCAAUCAUGACAUGAUCAAUUUGAACAAAAGAAAAUAAAGGCUCUGAUUUACAAUUAAA
rnacentral:lncRNA from 1 species